rnacentral:rRNA from 1 species
GACGAACGCUGGCGGCGUGCUUAACACAUGCAAGUCGAACGUGAUUUUUGUGGAAAUUCUUCGGGAAUGGAAAUGAAAUGAAAGUGGCGAACGGGUGAGUAACACGUGAGCGACCUACCUUACACAGGGGGAUAGCCGUUGGAAACGACGAUUAAUACCGCAUGAGACCACAGAAUCGCAUGAUAUAGGGGUCAAAGAUUUAUCGGUGUAAGAAGGGCUCGCGUCUGAUUAGCUAGUUGGAAGGGUAAAGGCCUACCAAGGCGACGAUCAGUAGCCGGUCUGAGAGGAUGAACGGCCACAUUGGAACUGAGACACGGUCCAAACUCCUACGGGAGGCAGCAGUGGGGAAUAUUGCACAAUGGGGGGAACCCUGAUGCAGCGACGCCGCGUGAGCGAAGAAGGUUUUCGAAUCGUAAAGCUCUGUCCUAUGAGAAGAUAAUGACGGU